GUAGGUGGCAAGCGUUGCCCGGAAUUAUUGGGCGUAAAGCGCGCGCAGGCGGUUCUUUAAGUCUGAUGUGAAAGCCCACGGCUCAACCGUGGAGGGUCAUUGGAAACUGGAGAACUUGAGUACAGAAGAGGAAAGCGGAAUUCCACGUGUAGCGGUGAAAUGCGUAGAGAUGUGGAGGAACACCAGUGGCGAAGGCGGCUUUCUGGUCUGUAACUGACGCUGAGGCGCGAAAGCGUGGGGAGCAAACAGGGAUUAGAUACCCUGGUAGUCCACGCCGUAAACGAUGAGUGCUAAGUGUUAGGGGGGUUUCCGCCCCCUUAGUGCUGCAGCUAACGCAUUAAGCACUCCGCCUGGGGAGUACGGCCGCAAGGCUG
rnacentral:rRNA from 1 species